UAUGCUGCGCAGCUGCUACACCACAUGAAAUUAAAAGAGUACAAUUUACCUGCAGCACUGCAAACCAGCAUCAGUGAGCAAAAGUGAACCUGCUGAUGAAAUUCAGUACAUUCAAAAUCCAUUACUGAAUUGAAAGGGAAAGUAUUGUGUAUAGAAGUAGCUCAUGGGCUGUAUACCCUUCUUCAGUUAAUUUGAGGUUUGAUUUCAAUAAUGAAACAAGGCACAGUAUGUUUCAACUAGCCAAAAUAGGGAAGAAUCAGACUGCAAUAAGAGAAAGUUUCAGCAAGAUUUUUAGAAUGACGCAUGAUGACAUAUGUUAAACAUUAAGCUUCACCAAUAUUAAGCAUUUAGGUUAGUGCUGAGUCCUCAGUCCUCAAAGGAUUCUCAGUCCACUCGCACAAAGGAAAGAAGCACGAGAAGACAGGAAAUACAUACAUCCAGCAGCUAGAGGCUGAAUGCUCUCCCGUCAGGGUACCGGUAAAGACAAGUCUCCCCUAGCCAAAACCAGAGAAAGGAUCUUGUGGAGUUGCCUUCAACUGUUCAAGGCGCCUAGAAGAGCAGUGCUACUUGUCACCUGAUAAUAAUGAUGAGAAUCGCAGAAUAGGUGAGACUGGAAGGGAUUGUGAUGAUGAAAAUGAUGGUGGUUGUUCCCACCACACAAAACCAUAGCAAUUAGGUCCAGGGUUGCAAAGAACUUUAUGCUCAGUAUGUUAUUGCGUAAUUAUAUCCUCAUCCUAUUAUCAAACCUAUCCAGCCACCAAAUUUGUCUAAGUUGUUAUAUGAUAUCAUGCCAUAAUUACUGAGCAGCUUAAUGAUUUUGAGCACUGAAGAAAGAAAGUUUCAGCACUUUUAAUCUGCCAACAUCCUUUGAGUGAGAAAGUUCUGUUUUCCUCAUUUUAUACCUGCAAAAUGGAGUCAUAGAAAUGGAAGAUCGCUUUUUGAACCCUGGUCACCAUGAGAUGUGCACAGGCAUUUAAUAACAUAGUCAAGAGUGCCAGCAAAACCCUACUGAAAUCAUUAGGAAGUUGACACAUACAGUUCCUAGCAGUACUUUUUUGCAAUCUCAUUAAGGACUUGUCUGCCUCCGAAACCUCUAAUCCCCAGUAACAGAAAUCACUGCUUGGAGGAGAGAAUGAUGAUGGAAUCAGGUGUUUGCUGCCAGCAAAUAAGUCUGUGUACAAAGCACAGGCAAAGUGUAUUUUUCUACAGCAUGUGGAUGGGCUGUCCAAUUCCCAAGUUGGUCUCUGGCAGCAAGUCUUGUCUGGUGGGGUCUUACCUUGCCCCUUUUCUGGGCCAUUCUCUGUCUGUCAGUACUACUUGCAGACUUUUCUGGAUGUUUGUAUGCAUGCAGGCGUGUCCAAACCCCAUCCAUGUCCCAGCUGCUCUAUUGCCAGUCACCGUUGGCCCUUUCUACAUGACACCCUGCCCUGCUAAUGCUGCAGUGUCUCCCACCAUCAUGCCCCGCUAAGAAACAGCAGUUGUUUUCAGUUUAAAUAUCAACGAAUGAAAACUCCUUUUGGCGUGCAGUUCUUACCCUCCCACAUAACACUUCUGGCAGAGCUGGCCUUAGUGGCUUACCGUGGUGUCCUGGCUGUGGUGGAAGCGUGCGAUAUCCGCUGGGGACACCCAGGCUGCUGGCACGCUGCCUCCUCCCGUACGGCUAUAUGUGGCCUGUGUAUCACUUUCCACAAGCAAGGGGACGACAGACCCAAAGGAGAAUGACACAAAAGGACCUGUAACAGCUUAGGAAAGCCAAGUGGCUUGUGGUUAGUUCCCUAAACACCAAUUUAGAAACUUGAAGGUAGGCACUCCAGAGCUUUUAGCCACAGGCUUCUGUCUGCUUAGACAUUCCCAUUCAUAUUCUGUGAUAGAUAGACAGACAUUAUUUAGGGAGAACAAAAUGUCCUAUUACCACAGGAUUCUAUAAAUCCUGCCUGUCUUCUGGGAAGUUCAGAUUGAAAGAAAAGCUGGAUGUAACUAUCCUAAAGCAUUAAAUAUUUAUGAAAAAUAUUUAUCACAGCAUUUUACGUGCAGUUGUGCAAUAUACUUUUGUGACUUUGCUCCCAAGGCACUUCUUUUAUAUGUUUAAGUUGUUGACAAAUGGCAUGAUGCUUUGCAGCAGCAAAAGAUCUCCCCUCCAGCCCCCCAAAUGAACUCCCUAAGACGUAUUUCUUCUGCUUCAUGUUAAAGCAGAAAACCAAAUUUUCACCUCAUCAUUUUGUAUUGAAGUGGUUUUGGUUAUGAAAGUAGAAUAAUCAAGAAAACUAUUUUAAAUAGCCUCACUAAACUACAGAGGAAAUUAGAUUGUCUGCUGAGUUUGAAAAUCUGUCUGUAAUUAGACUUAAAUAUCACUCUUUUCAGUGCAUUUUAGCAUUUCUGCAGACUGUAGUCCUUAUGAAGUAUAUAGUUUCAGAGUAUAGCCUUCCUUUUAUGAAAAUUAUGACCCUGUGGCAUGCUUUCAGGAGAGUAUGUCUUUAUACUAGCUAUAAAAGAUAAUCUAAUAGUUGAUGCAGUUGUUGACUAGUUUCCUCUCAUUCCUGUAGCAUAAUGUGUUAUCAUUUUCUUUUCUCUAUGUAUUGUUGAGUGCUGUAUGUUAGGGAGGAAAAUAUUUCACCUGUAGCUAAGGAUAGUACAUAAUUUUACUAUAAAUGUCUCUAUUUCAUAUUUUACAAGUGAUGUUUGCAUAUAUGAAGUGCUAUUUACUCAAUACAAACAAUAGUGGAAUUUCAGCAGGUUUAAUAUUUUCUUUUAUUCUGUGGUCUUACUGCAUAAAUAAAUGAAAAAAGGUUAUUAGUAUGAGAGAGAUUUAUAUGGCUGUGCUUUUGUAGAAAAGAUGCUAGCAGACCAGGUGUUGUUGGGUUUUUUCAUUGUCUGUAAUACCACAAUAAUGCCAUCACUUACAAAGUUAGGGUUUUACUUGUCCACUUGUGAUGGCUUUUUCCAAAUUAAGGCUUGUUUUUUGGAAAAGAAACUGAAGAGUAAAAGCUGACUUAUAAAGAAACGGUUGACGUGAUAUUGGGAUUUCAUCUAGUUAUCAAGACAUUGCUGUGCUUUAAUGCCUUCUGGGUACACCUACAGUGCAUAGUCUGUGAACAGGGUGGAUAGCUGGGGAGGGACCGGGGGGAACUGUUGUAUCCCCGACCACCUCGGCUCUCUGCCAUGUGUCCUGGUGAUGUGCACUCCUGUAGCAGCAGCUGCAGUGCUGGGAAGCCUCCGUGAUCCUUUCCUCCUCAUCUUCCAGUCCGCUUCUAACACUUGAUCAGCUCAGGUAUGGCCCCCAAAUCAGCCUGUGAGCGGUGACAGGGAGUGGAGUGAAUGGGGAGUACAGACGUGUAAGAUCAGAUCAUGAGCCAGCAUUGAUCAGAGUAAACAACACCGGCAUAGGUGGCUUAUCCCACCUGCAGGUUAGAUGUGGGUGCCUGCAUAUCUGAGAGCAGAGCUGCACACCCACCCCACCCCAACACCACGUACUGCUCAUUCUCAGCUGUUCAGCCACUGCUGGAUUUGUGUUUAAACCAAUCAAAAUGUAAUGCAGCAGAAAUAUUUUCCCUUCAGAACCUCCAAUUUCCAGAAGAAACAGUUGUCUUUGUUAUCCAGGAAUAAACUCUAAAAAUCAUACCUUAGCUCAAAUGAGUUCUGACUGUCCGUGAAACUUUCACCUAAUUAAACUGUUAACUUCAAACUGUGGCAUAGCAAGGAAAAAAGAACAUGUUUUACAUUAGAUAGGCAAGGCAGCAUCUCCCAUUGUAGCACAUUUUGUACCAUGCAAUGGUGGGUUCAGAUAUUUCAAAUCUAAUUAGGACAUAUAGAGUGGACCUUCACUAAAUUUUCACAUGAGUAAAGCCAUCGUUUCCAGUGUGAGCAGCUCAGGUGACCCGGCCUGCCUGGCCCUCCUGGCUUCCAGACAAUGUGGCUGGAUGAAACAAUGCAAUUCCUUUUAUUGAGAACUCCUGGCUCCAAAGAUCUGUCACUGCAAAGAGCCAUGGGAACAAAUCAUGUGUCAGCCUAAAAAAUCAAUAUUGAAGAACAAAUUGAACUAUAAUAGUGUGUCUGUCUGGUUAUUUAAAAAUAGAUAACACAGAAAACGCAAAGGACAGGAAGCAGCCAGGAGAGGUUUACAGAGAUGGCUCAAAGGUGGAAAAACUGAAAACAUACUUCUCCUUCCAGAAACAGCCUGGCUUAAUACUCACUGAAACCAAAGAAGUGGUUCCUUCCCUUGACUUUGUAUCUCUUCUGUGUGUCUUUGCAAACACAGACAGUAUCUAAUUUCCCUUUUUACCUAUGUGCUCAUGCCAAGACCCAUUAAUAUUGCCCAAAGAAGGUAAAGGGAAGGGACUGGGACAUGUAGCAAUCUAGCCUUCAGACCACAAACUCUGAAGGAAAUGGAGCACAACAGAUCUGUCAACAAAUAGGGUGAGCUAAGAUUUUCCCAAGAGGCCUUAAUAAAUCUAUGAUAGAAUUAGAGACACAUGCAAAAGGUUCUACAGAAAAUCACGACUGAAACCUCUGAACUGUUACGGAUAUCCUGUGGUGAGAGUUGUGGGACUUCCUGUAACAUUCUAAAGGAGAAGAUGCAACUCUCCUUUAAAUUCCACAGUGUGCUUUGAAAGCCUGCAAGGGUUAUCAUUUUCUAACAAAUAUUGUUGUAUUGAGCGGUUCUUUUAAAAUGCUCUUUAAAAGAAAAAAAAUAGUGAAAAGAAAAAAAAGAAAAAAAAUUUGGAAAGCAAAGUUUUCACUAUCAAGAAAAAGUAGAAAGGAGACAGAAGAAAAAAUUUAGUAUGCAUGUAUCCAUAAGUGUGAAUAUUGUGAAACUCAAGAAUUGACAAAGAAACAAAUAAAUAACAUUAAUGAAUUGCCAACAGAGGUCUACAAAUAACUACACAUUAAAAGCUUUUAAAAGUGGCUUGGUGAAGUUCUAAGAGAUAUCGCUAAACCUUGCUGUCUCAAUUACCUCCCAAAACUACGGAAACCAAAACCUGUAUUUACAAAUACUGCUGUUUUCUAUCUGUCCCAGCAGCUCAGAAGGCAGAAAUAUUCUUUACAACCAGAACUAAAGCUCUUUGUAUGUCUUCUGGAUUUUCCAUCUUGGACAAUAUCACAAGGAUUGUUUUGUGAUUCCUGCUGAUUUGUGAUUCCUGCUGAACAGCAUGUAUGCAAAUGUUAAGCUUGCGUGUAGAAGCCACGUCGUAACUUUGAGAUGGCUUUGUGCCGGAGCUGGUAAGACCUGCAAGUGCACUGUUAGAUAUUAAGUCUCCCUGUGAAACCAGCUCAACGUGUGUGUUUCUGCUCUGCAGCACCAAGUCUGAUGAGCCAAAACACUGUGAACAUCUGUUGCUUUAUAAUCACUGAGCUUUACUCAUGGUUCAGCGUAGAACUAAACUUACUUUCUGGUAAGAUGGCAGCUUGCCUAUAAUUAUGUAUUCUUUAUCCUUUCCCAGAGCAUCUUUUUGGUUUUCUUCUUGGUAAGGAAAGUUUAAGCGUUGUACUUCGGUAGUGAUUCCCAGUGAGGAACCUGGGCAGCUUGGUGGUAGCUUCAGUAAGUUCUUACAAAGCAUGAUUGUUUAAGGUAUGAUAAAAUGCUUGCUGUCUACACAAUCUGAGAAAAACUAGCUGUGAUGAAUGGAUAAGCCUCACAUUUUGUGUGCUGGUAUUUUGCUGCCUGGAAGUAAGUCUGUUUGGGCUUUGAAACUCUGUCUAUAUGAUCCUGUAUACACUUAAGGGAAAAAGAACUGAUACUACAGUUAUUUGUACAUUAGCCUGCAAUUAUUUUUUUCUUGGAGAAAAAUGUCCCUUUAUUCAUGGGAACACCUGUGAAAAUGAAUGGCUCCAGGGGAUAAUAACAGCCACUAAAAAGUUGGUAUUUGGGCUUGUCGAAUUCCUGACACUUUCGUUGGGUAAACAUCUUCUGAGAGCUAGACUCACGGGAAUAAACCUUGCUGGGUGCCAUAUCAGAGUGGGUAGGUCUUCUCUAGAAAACAACUUUGAAAUGCUAAUAAUUUUUGAAAGCUAUUUUAUGAAUUAUUCCUAGAGUCAUUCUGUGCAGCUGCUCUGUUUCUUGUCAAGGGGUUUGUCCCCAUUGGGAACCUAUGGGCUCCAGCUAUUGACCAGCUCUUCCUGAGAGCCCGGCCAGGGGGUUCCCUUUGGGAAGGGCUGAUCCAGUACCAGUGCCCUGAGCGCUGCGCUUGCCAGCUCCUGGCUCAGUGGUUGUCAGAAGCUCCUGGCUGCCAGCGAGAAACUUAAGUAAUGAAUUUCCUCCUGAAGAGACUUUCCUGAACCAGCUGAAAUAAAUGAAGUAUAUUAGCUUGUUUUACAAGAAGUCCAUCUUGCUUUCACUGAACUAAUUACCCUGCAGUCAUAUAGCUGGUUAUGCUUUUCUAAUGCAUUGUGAAAUCUGUCGAAUUGGGAACCAGGGUAAUUAUGACACCUCAGGUUCAUUUGUGUUUAAAAGCAGGGACUGCUUUUACAGCUCACAUUUCAUCAGAGAAAGAGCAUUUUAUAAACACCGGUACCUCUCAGAAGAGUUGGAUGAGUGUAUAAAUUACUAAUAAGACCUAUUCUUACAUUUGAACAUUAUACACUGUCUUUUCUUCUCAAAAUGUUUUCCAAAUAUACAAAUACACUGCAAGCUCCAUUCGAUGUGGCACUAUAUACAGCAACCCAGUAGGCUUUAGGGUAGGAAGUGAAACUGUAGCUGCCAGUGAAAAUGACAGAAACCAUUCUGAGAUGCAAAAAAUAAAUACUGAAGUUAGAAUUUGGCUAGGAUAUGAAAGCUAAAACCUGCGCUCUCUUGGAAAUUAAAUUAUGCCAUUUUUAAUGACUGCAGUGUCAAGGGUGUUCGCUUACAACUGUUUAAGCACAACUCCUGUUAACAUAUAUCUGGACUUCAUGUUAACACAGGGUCAGAGAGGUGAGUUAUAUACAGUGAAGUAAUAGUGAAUCACCGAACCUACCCAUAAUAGGGGGCCUCUAGACUUGCUAGACAUUAAUGGGGUACGACUGCUCUGCUUAAGCUGGUACAAGUGCAGUGCUCCGUGAAGACAGGAUGGGGUUUCUCUCUGUUCACAGCACAGAGCAUGCACUCCUGUCCUGGGCCACACGAAGGAUGUGCAAACAUGUGUAGAGGAAGGGGAAGGUUUGGGUGCAGCCAGGCAGCUGCAUCACUGCACCCGCUCUCAGGCUCCGUGCAGCAGAUAAGGGCUCAGGUAGAGGCUGGCGUGGGUUGGUGGCAUGUUGCCAGAGAAGCGAGCCAUGCUGGCAUCCAGCAAAUGCCGGUUCUAAUGCUGGGGCAGGGGAGGGUGGUUUGGUGCCGGUGUGAGGGCACAUGCCAGCGAACCCGCUGAUAAAUGGUAGGCUGGUCAAACCGGGGCAUGAGGAGGCUGAGUAUUUUUGGUAAAACAGGCAACUAGCUGAGAAGAAAGAGAGGCUGUUUUACAGGCAGAGAACUGAGACCGCGAUGAAGUGACUAAAUUAAACCUAAACGUGUGAGACAGCUGAGAAAUUAACUAACAUCUCCUUAUUCCCUGCCCAGGUUCUUAAAGCAGAUGGUGUUACGUGCUCCGCUCCGUCCCUACAGCCUCUGUGAGAGGCUCUCCCUGCCGACCAGUGUGCACUGCGUCGCGUGCUAAAAAAUACUGUGCAUGAUGAAAGGCUCGGAGCCAAUAGGGUUGUAGCAGCCUUAAUUAAAAGUGCAAUUAAAACCCCAGCAUGAGUUACUGUUAGCCAAAGGGGCUAGGAGAAACCAGAAUGUUGGUUUGUUUCUUUUUCGCCUUAAUAUAUUGGAGUUAGAAUGGAGCUAGAGAGAUAACAGGGCAAUUAAAAAUAUGAAAUGGAUAAAAUUAAUGAUGAGUCAAAGUGGCUGGGAGAGGUUGAUUUUUUAAUUAUUUUUUUUUACAUCUUUUUAUAAUGUAUUAAAUAAAGAAAAGAACUUUGAAUAAUCAGGAAGUCAGAAUGAUGCUGUAAAAUUAAUUGCUGAUUAGGAACACAGAAAGAGUAAUUGGAAAAUGUGAAAUAUAUGAUGUAAUGGCUCCAGCAAUACAUAUCUCAAAGGAUCUAGAAGAGUUGUGGAGUCUGAAUGGAUGUGACGGGGUGCUAUAGGGUGUUUGCAACAUCUGGCUUUAUGUGCUUAAUGGCAGUGCUAAGUUACAAGACUCAGCCCUCUGUAGUCACAGUGAGGAAGUCACCCUCAAAAGACAACAGUAUAAAUGAAGAUCCAGGAGUCUCUGAGGGGAGCCAACCCAUUCACCUGGGCAUCUGAACUGGUGCCUCAAUUCAGGUGAUGUGAAAUUCCCCCCUUAGUUUCACACUGCAACACUCUGUGGAGACACCAGGGGAAAUAAAGUGUUUUCCAUCAGAGAUGGAUGUGAUGAAACCUGCUGCUGCUGCUGCUACUGCUUGACUCAGGUUAUUACAGCGUUGUUAUUACCAGGACAUUAGAGCCUUACUGAUGCUGAGUUCACACUGGCUCUGUAUUCCCUUGACUCCAUCAGCUUCCAAAGGAAAAAAUGAAGGAAACUCUGAGACAGAAAUGAGGCAUCUUCAAAGGGCAAAGCUGCCACUUCAGUUGCUUGUACCAGCACUAAGCUCAGAAGAGUAAACUUCAAAGAGAGUGAAGCCUCUUUUCUUCAGCAGCUGGAUGAAGCAAACAUAACACAUAUCAGCACAGAUACGGUUUUCCUGACUCCGGAGCUCAGAAAACAUCUGUCAUACAUCUAAAGACUAGGAAAUCAAAAGUGAUUCCCUCUCAGUUUCAUUCUUGUGCCUUAAUCUUUUAAUCAGAAAUGAUCCCUGGCAAGAAUCUGUUCUGUUAACAGGAACGAGCAGAGAACUGUAGAGUUGGUGUACUUCAAAGAGCCCCUGAGACAGAAUUAAUCUGCUGAAGCAGCCUGUGGGAGGACGAGACAAUAAUAUGUCGAGAGACCAGUGGUUCACCCUUCCAUUGCGUACGAGCCUUGCCUUCUUCACUCAGUGCUGAAGAUUUAUGCAUCCUUCAUCAUCUGCAUCUGCUGCCUGGGCUCUGAAAGCAGCGCAGAGUGACUGUACACAGGGUAGCAUGGAGGGAGCGUUCCAGCGUUCCAGUCGUCGCAUAAGGAAAGCCCUCAUGUACUGGUGUGAAAAGAGAGGAAACAGCUCUGACAAGCAGACUGAGUAUGAAAUAUUAAAACACUGCCCACCCUGGCUACUGUGGGCUCGUAUCCAGCGUAAGUACAUCAUGCACUAUCAACGGGUGGCACCAGGGAGUUUAAGAAAGCAAGGGGGAAAGUAUUUUGCAUACAGUUUUUUUCCUACAGACUGCUAGUUGAAAACAAGCAUACCAAAACCACAGGAGAAAGUCUUUUCUUCGCUGCCCUGCCCCUCCUAAGCAGGCUAGCUGGGACUGAGCUGGCUGUGUGCUGCUGUUCCCAGCGGCACCCAGUGUCCACCCUUCCAGCUUCCCAGAAACGUCCCAGAGGAGGGCAGAGGAGUGGGCAGCAUGCUGGCAGCACGUUCCCUUCACCAUUUAGAACUGGAAUAAGGGUAGAGAUCUCAAGUUCCCAGUUCGGUCUAGCAACAGGCGUAGAGCCUCAUCACCUUCCUUCUCAGAGAUCAGCAAAAGCUGUCAGUGGGCAAGAUGGGACAACAGAAGACCCCAGGCCACUGAAUGGGAAAAUGAUCUUUAUAAAUGUCUGCUUCUGAGGCCUGCUCCCACUGGCCUCCACCCCACCCAUUAAAUCAGCUGGAAUCAGGCUAGGAACAUCAAAUCCCAGUGGCUUCCCCUGGUGGGUUCCUCCUAAUGCAUGCAUGCAGAGGAAGGCAGGAGAAGCUUGAGUGGCAGUUUUAACAGCUUUAGCCCCUCUAAAAAAAUCCGUGGCAGCCAUCAGUAGCACAUUUUUUCCUUAGCCUGUUUGCAGCCUUGAACUCCUGUGUACAUCCCACUUGUUAUUUUACAGGCAGUAUUUUGGUAUUUGGUCAGAAGGGAAGACCUACUGCAGGCAAAUGAAAGAUAGUGGAACAAAAUAUUUCCAUCUAAUUCUGCCAUGAACACCGGCUGCUCAUCUACAUGUUUCUUGUUCAGAAACCUUGGGAUAAAUUUGCACAAACUGUACAAAUGUGCACUGAGAAAGCAAGCAGUGCACCAGCUGGGAAAAGCAAGGACCACAGCAGAAAGACAAACUGGAACCUCUCGGUCAGUUUUGGUUUAAUACCUUGUACUUAGGUACACACAGUGUUCCGUUAACUCCUCUAACUUGGUCUCAGUGUAAUUCCUGUGACUUUACUGGCUUUUCCUCUUGUUUCAGCAGAAGAUACAGGAAAAGAGGCACAGCUUCUUCCUCCCCAGGACAUGGAAUGCAUCGCGCUCUGCCCUAGCGAGGAUGCUACUCCCUGAUGUGGUCCCUCUUCCGCAUUCUCAGGGAUCAGACCCACUUUAUAAUGACCAUCUGCAACAACCUCUGAGAUUCAGAGAACCUCCCCACUCAAAUUCCCCCAUUUACUUGUUGCUACUGAGAAGAAUCUUAUGAAAAGCCACAGGCCUUUGACAGCUGCAUGCCACCGAGCUAUUCCCAGAGCAGGGUAAUGACUGUCUCACCAGUGCGGUACGGCGGAGCACUGGGGGAAUGGAUGUGGGGACUUGCCAUUACAAAGAUAUGAGAGAAAUGAAGUGCCAGUCCACAGAGGCCUCGGUGUUGGGGUGAACGAUCACAUUCCCAUUUCAGUUCUUAAUUGCACAAUGAGCAGGAGGAAAUGGAGUAGAUCCAGGGGGAUCUGCAAAGGAAGAAAGUAAAUUCUCAGCCAGAGCUUGCUGCAGAGAAAGGCUCUUCUUCAGCGCAUACAUUUUCAGCAUAAGCAGCAGCUGGAUAUAAAGAAAGCCAUUUUUGUAGGGAAGCCCCUAGAAAAACCGGUGAUUCGAUUCUGCUUUCACUUACUUGAGUGGACCAGCCCCAGUGACCUCCCCAGAAGAGGGGUCUUUGCUGAGCUGGACAUAGGGAGAGGUGAACUGGGGUGGGAAGGCAGGGAGGGAGAGGCCAGGCAGUUGCACGGUGCCCCCCUGCAGCGUGCUGUGCCGUGGCCGCUGCUGCAAAAACUGGCAGCAAGAAAGGCUGCAGUCCUCAAAGCUUCUGCCCUGCCUGGUUUAGGGCUGAUGUAUAGAUGCUCUCUGCCUAUAGAGGUGUCCCACCUACUCACGGAGGAUCUUUAGCCUCCCAGCAUACCAUGAGGUUCAGCUGCAGUGGAAGGGAUGCCUUAGUUCACUUAAGCGAUGGCUUAUAGGACUGACCCACUCACUAGUGUAAUCUACACAAGUCAGAAAAGCCCGUGCUGUGGGAGCAGCUCUGUAGAGGAAUGCCAGUGUGCAGUGACUGUGACGUGGACCAGACGGGGGGGAUCUUUACACAGGGCCUUUAAAAUAGACGGGAGGCUGAUUUCCCAGUUUACCCUCUCACAUCUGUAGGUAAAUCACAGCAGGUUUUUGGCGUUUUGUAUUGAGAUGCAACUGACUCUAUCCAGUGACUGAGUUAUCCUUUGACACUUGCUUGAAAUAAUAUAAACAGAAAGUGAAAUCUGUUUUACUGUUUUGUUUUUUGUUGGGUUUUUUUGUGGGUUUUUUUUUAAAUUUAUAUGAGUUCUUGAGGUUUUGAUCAUAUUUUAAUGGAAGGUCUAAUUAGUGGGUAAUUGUUAAAGGUGAGAUACUGCAGAUGCAAUUCAUUAAAGCUCAAAUGUUAAACUAUUAAUACGUGUGUAGCUGUUGGAAAUGAGAAACAGAGACAUAAAAUAAUGUGUGCUGGAUCUACUGUCUCUGCAUUGCAGCUCUAGCAUGCAAUAAAUGGCAUUCUUUUCUUCUUUUUCUCUUCUAAAAAAUGUACUACUUUUACCAGAUCAGUGAAUCACUAGAUGUUAUUUUUCUCCUUCUGCUGGAUCUGCAAUAAGCACAGCAAGGAAAUCCUGCCUCUCAGUACAUGGAAGUUUGUGAUCGUUAACAGAUGGAAUGGUGGCUAUAGAGAUGCUGUAUGUUCCAACACUUUGUUCCACAUCACUGUUUCUACACCUUUAUGUGUAUUUGGUGAACAGUUGUGGGUGUUGUUUUUUUUUAAUAAAGAGGAUGUCUGAUUUCCAAAAUUAGAGAAUCAUCUGUUACAUUAUCAUUACAAGAAUCA